rnacentral:rRNA from 1 species
CCUUACGGCCAGGGCUACACACGUGCUACAAUGGUCGGUACAAAGGGUUGCCAAGCCGCGAGGUGGAGCUAAUCCCAUAAAACCGAUCGUAGUCCGGAUCGCAGUCUGCAACUCGACUGCGUGAAGUCGGAAUCGCUAGUAAUCGUGAAUCAGAACGUCACGGUGAAUACGUUCCCGGGCCUUGUACACACCGCCCGUCACACCAUGGGAGUGGGUUGCUCCAGAAGUAGCUAGUCUAACCGCAAGGGGGACGGUUACCACGGAGUGAUUCAUGACUGGGGUGAAGUCGUAACAAGGUAACCA